AUCUCAGACCAUGGCCUUCAAAUGACUGCCAAAUCUCAGAUUUUCCAGUUCCCUAGUUCGCAGACUUUAUUCUAUGAGGCAUGCUCCACUUGGGGAACUCUGCAGCUGGGGAUCUAUGUGACAAGCUCUAAGAACACUGUGCACCAGCAAAGACAUUCUCUUGUUGACUGUCUACAUUACUUCUCUAGGAGGGUCUCCCCCAGUCAUCACCAUUGCUGGUUCCAUUUCAUCUACUAAUAUCCCAUCACCAAUCAGUCUGACUGGGAAACAGACUGUGUCUUACAAGACUUCUCCGGGGAAUGGUAUGACUCAGCAGUAGUUGCUUAAACCCAUCGUUGGGAAGAAAUUCUCCAUGGGUCUCGCAUGUUUCUAUGCAUCACGCAAGCACAAAGACUGUCUACUGUUGUAAAAGGUCUGGGUGUGAUUAGGAGAUAACUACAAAAAAACAUGAAAUUAUCAAUAGUGGAAUUGAACACACCAAUUUUGAAGCAAUGGAGGACAGACAAGAAUAGUACCUGGGACUGGAAACACUUUAGACCCCAAGAGACACAGAAGAGAGAUGGAUCUGCAUGACCUCUGUUUUUCAGAAUCACCCUUGGAGCCUUCUUCAUGAUCGGCAACCGCCUGUCUUUCCCAGCAUCAGGAACUUUUCCAAUGAGUCGUCUGU